rnacentral:other from 6 species
UAUCUUCAGGAAGAAGAUUUGGUCAUUCAGGAUGAAUGAUCAGCAUGGAGCGAACGGACAUUGAAUGGACUCAAUCGUUAUCAGGAAGAUGACGACUAAGGAAAGACGAUGGACACCUCAGGACUGAGGCAGGGAACAAACAUCAGGAUGAUGUAAGGGACACCGCUCAAGGAACAAGUGAGUGCGCUAAUCAGGAAGGUUAGCAGAUCAGGAUAGGAUCAUGGACACCGCUAGGAUGGCGAUGAAAGGAUUAAGCUGAAGGACACAGCAUACUAUCAAGGAUUUGAUGCAUGGAGCACCUAUAGUAGCCGGAUUGCUGCGAGUAAGACUACAGCCCCGAUACGAAAGUAUCGGGGCUUUUCUUUUGU